UCUGAAUCCAGCGAUCCGAGUUCAA
rnacentral:piRNA from 4 species